ensembl:lncRNA
UGCAGCAUAUGGAAGUUCCCAGGGGUCAAAUUGGAGCUACAGCUAGCAGCCUACACUGCAGCCACUGCCACACAGAAUCUGAGCCAUGUCUGACCUACACCACAGCUCACGGCAACCAGAUCCUUAAUCCACUGAGACCAGGGAUAGAAUCCACAUCCUUAUGGAUACUAGUAGGGUUCAUAACGUGCUGAGCCACAAAUGGAACUCUCGUUGAACUCUUUUCAAUGUGACUUCUUAAGAGAGAGGAAGUUGAAGGGAAACUCUGACCCUGAGAUUAUGGCAAUUUGUCCUCACCAAUCUAUAAAAGCUGGAACAGAACGAAGAAAGUCCUCAGACACGACUUCAUGUUUUCACAGUCCUUUCCUGACUUCUCAUCCUCCUGUUUCCUCCAGGACUCCCUCAGCUACCUAUCCCUUAUAGUGCUUAAUACAAUUCUUUAGGCUUUUUUGUAAUCCUAGCAAUAAGGCAAAACUCUUGGAGUGAAUUCUCUUAUUCCCAAGCAUUUGCUUUCCUUCUCGCACAAAGGAGUUAUAGUUUCCUACCCACUGACAUCAGGCACACACAUGACUUGCCUCAGCCAGUGAAAUGUGAAUGAAUAGCAUGUCUCUCUUCUAAACAGCAACUUUAAGAAGCCACUGUGUGGUUUCAUCUCUCUUGCUCCUUCUGUCACAGUGCUCUUUGCUCACAUUGGGUCUGCUCUUUCACCCUUGGUCAUGGACUAAAAGGACAUGAAGUAGAGCUGAAGCUAAGCCACAAGGGUUGGAUUCAGGUUAGACCACUGUUGUUAGACUGCCAUUGAGAUUUGAGGUCAUUCGUUACUCAACAUAACUUAGCCUACAUAGCUCAUUUCCUUCCAGAACUACUAGCAGUGGUAGCUAACAUUGAUUAAGCAGGCACCAUGUGCCUGGCACUGCGCUAAGUCCACUGUUUCAUUUAUCCUCAUGACAAAGCCAUGAUGCAAAUACUGCUGCUAUCUUCAUUUCAAAAAAGAGGAAACCAAGAACUGAGAGAUUAGGUCACUGGCUCACAGGAUCAUAUCACUUCUAAGUGGCAGGGCCAAGCCUAGAAUCUAAGUCUCUGGUUUCAGAGCAGCUUCACUAAUCAAUGCUUCAAUAAAUGACUACCGAACCAAUGACUGACUGGAGAAGCAGAGUGAGAGAUAUCUAGAAUUCACACUGAAGAAGCUGGCCUUUUCAGAGUGACUUGGAGAAAAGGAUCACUAUCUGACUGAUAAGCUAUCUAUGCUCUGGGGACAAAUGACCUCUAAAAACCCGUAAGCAGCUAAAAGCAAUGAAGGUUUUUCCCCCUCUCUCAUGAAACAGGUCCAUCACAGGUUGGUCAUAUCUACAAUUUAGACUGCAGAAGUGUGGAAAGAUGGAUGGAUGGGUGGAGGGAAGGACAAUUAAAUUAUAGUAUGUGGCAAAUAUGGCAUCUCAAUCAGUGAGGAUUUGAGGAAACAAUGCCUCUUUAAUAAUUGGUAGGAGAAAACUCCUAUCUACAUGGCAGUUCAGUUAUCUAUUAAAAUUGCAAACAUGGCUUCUAAAACCAUUCAAAUCUUCACCUUCGUAGAAAAGAAAACAUGAGUUUCAACAGAUGAGACAGAGUCAUGCUCCUCUAGUAUCAUCCUCUCAAAUCACCAACAUGUCCUUACUUUUCUCUCUACAGUCACUCCAGGUGGCUAAGGAAAAGGGGCUGAAAAAGCCAUUUUUCAGGAACCUCCAAAAGAAACAUGCAAUAUGGUAGGUAGCAUUACAAACCCUCAGUCAAGACAGGGUGAGAAUGCCCUCCAAACACAUCAGGAUCCUCUAGGAUGCCUUUCCCAAGAGGCCAAGAAGGUUCUAUAGGAUGCACAAGGACUCCUUCUCAGAGGAAAGUGCUAUCAAAGAGAAGUGUAAUGAAAGCCACAGUGCCAAUUUAACUCUUCAAAACCAGGUAUUUAACUCAGCGCGUCUUAAAAAGAUGUUAAAUUUUCAAGGGUUAAAGGGAAAUGUAGUCUUAGCAAAAUAAUAAACUUGUGUCUGACAGGAAAACGUUUCCGACUUUUUCAUUAUCCAGCUAGAAACUAACAGGGGGUAAAAUUAAGAAUGUAGUUCCUCAGCAGCGCUCGCUGCAGCUCAAGCGCUCAAGUCACUGGUGGCCAAUGGGUGCUGGAGUAGACAGCACCGAUAGGACACCGGCGGGAGACCGGGCGGGGAGACUUGGGGAGGUGGCUGUAAACCACAGGGACAGUAUACUGGACCCACUGGGAAAGCGAGCCGUCGGGAGGGGCGGUCAGCGCCGCCAACAGCGCACACUCCCCAUCCCAAUACAGCCUGAGAGAUCAGCCUCAGCCUCGGCUACUGCCCACGCCAACCCCGAGCCGGAGGUCAGAGAGUGGGGUAGGGAGGCAGUCACACAAGUCUCGCCCUGGCAUUUCGCCAGCACGCCAGACUCACUAUCGGCGGCAGAACGCAGGAACUGCUCCCACGGGCCCCACAUGUGCGUGUGGAUAGGUGAGUGGCAACUGCAGCGGUGGGGAGUCCGGUCGCAAGGAGAUCGCACU